CAGUACUUCCCAAGCCACAGGACGGAGUGUGGGAGCGAAGCCCCUUCAUCAAAGCACCAGAAAGAUGUCAGCAGAAAAACAAACAGAUGGAACUUCGGACAGCCAAAUCCAGUGAGGUGUGAGCUAACCUCCCCACCCAGUCAUGUGCUUACACAUGGGAACAAAACCCAAGAGGGUGGCCAGCCUUCAGCCCAGUGCCCAGGGAUGAAACAUGGCCCAAGAAAUAACACCACCACCAUCAGCUGUCCAUGCUUCCACCUCAAGCACUGAGCAAGAUCCUCUGGCAAAUGACCUCACUGGGAGGUAAAGAGGAAAGCGCUAUUGUCAACUCCAUUCUUCAGGACAGAAAAAUGAAGCCCAGAGGAACACCAGGGCCUGUGUGGAGUCUGUGGU
rnacentral:lncRNA from 10 species